GCGGGAGUGGCCUAUAAAUUCAUGCUGUGUGGGAGCGUAGCCACUAGCCCUGUUCCUCUAUUUAGCACUUGAGAUCUGGCCAGUGCAACUGAUUACAUUUUACUUAAUUUUCACUUAAAUAUCCAUCGAAAUAGGCCCAGUGUGGCUAAUGGUUAGUGUGCUGGAAAGCCCGGCCCAAGCCUUUUUAUCCACUUGUGAACUCCUUCCUGUUCCACCUCUCCCUCUCCUCGGCACCCCCAGAGCUAACAACUGUCUUGAAUCUUGGAUUUAUUAUUCUCUUUCUAUCCAGAAAUGUAUAUUAAAAUACAGGGACAUUUUUGCACAGCUUCCCUGACGCAGAGUUCCUGAGUUUCUUUGGAGAAAUUACCCGGCAAGGAGGAUAUGCAAAUGUUCCAGCUUGCAAAGAUCACCAUCUUGUCUUCCACCACGCUUCCAACGUGCUUAUUUGCAUUCCUACCAGCUACGUGUAAGAGUCCCUAUUGAUCCGGAUCCUUAACAACCCUCAGCAAGGUAGACAACUGAUGAAUUACCAUCCUGAUUGUGCAGAGGAGGAAAAUGAGUCUCCAAGAAGGGAGUGGGUUAGGUAAGGUCAGAAUAACGAGGUAAGACCCUGAUGUCCCAGCUCCAUACUCUGGAUCUUUCCAUGCCGCCAGACUGGGAGGAGGCCAGUGGGGGCUGCAGCAUCCCAGGGGACUGUGAGCCACCUCCUGACCGAUCCUGCCUCCUGCACUAGCCUGACCGCUGGCUCCAUAGUGGCCCCCCGGGGGCUGGGGGGCUGGUGCCAGAACCACGGUCUGCAGAAUGAGUGACUAUCUCUUUCCCAUCUGGAUUCUGUUAUUUUUCAGUUUAUUCUGGUCAAAACGCACAAGAUGAACGUCUAGAGGGAAAAAAUGAUAAUCUUUGAGAAAAUUGAAAAGAUAGAUCAUUGUUUGGGGCUGGGGGCUUGGGGGCCUCGCAGGCUGGUUCUCCCUGACUGAUUGCUGGGGGCCUGGCUCAGCCCGUGUCUGCACUCACGGCGUCUCUGCCUGCCUGGGAUCCACAGGGCAUCUCUUUCCACCCUUGGGACUCUGUCCAGGACGUGGUCUCUGCGGUAUAAGUGGUGGGGGCUGGGAGGGAAGAGAAGUGGAGCCACAGGCCCUCAGUUUCCUUCCCUGGGAACAUGGGCCUGGUCUGGCUAUUUUUGUGGCCUCCAGAUUGUUCCCUGGAGGAGAGAAACCCGUCUUAGCACUAUUAGCUGAGGUAUAUUGAGCCUUUAUGAUAGACCAGGCAUCUCCUAACCACCUUCCGCGUAUUCUGGGGACUGUUCACCUUUUGGACUCCUCACGCCAACCCUCUAUGCUAGUCCCAU